rnacentral:tRNA from 1 species
CAAAAUGUAGCUUAACAAAAGCCCCUCGCUUACACCGAAGUGAUACCUGUUAAACUCAGGUCAUUUUGA